UACGGGGGGAGCAAGCGUUGUUCGGAUUUACUGGGCGUAAAGGGCGCGUAGGCGGUCAGCACAAGUCAGUUGUGAAAUCUCCGGGCUUAACUCGGAAAGGUCAACUGAUACUGUGCGACUAGAGUGCGGAAGGGGCAACUGGAAUUCUCGGUGUAGCGGUGAAAUGCGUAGAUAUCGAGAGGAACACCCGUGGCGAAGGCGGCCCUCUGGCUCGACCCUGACGCUGAGGCGCGAAAGCGUGGGGAGCGAACGGG
rnacentral:rRNA from 1 species